GGCUGCUGUGGCCUACUGGUUAGCACUUCGGACUUGUAAACGGAGGGUUGCUGGUUCGAACUCCGACCAGCGCUA
rnacentral:tRNA from 1 species